AUGAUACUUCCUCCGUCCGAAAAUACUUAUCAUCAAAAUGAAUAAAAGGGGAUGUAUCUAGAUGUAUUUUAGUUCUAGAUACAUCCUUUGUUGUCCAUUUUGAUGACAAGUAUUUUGGGACGGAGGGAGUAGUAG
rnacentral:pre_miRNA from 1 species